rnacentral:rRNA from 1 species
GACGAACGCUGGCGGCGUGCUUAACACAUGCAAGUCGAACGGAAAGGCCCAGCUUGCUGGGUACUCGAGUGGCGAACGGGUGAGUAACACGUGGGUGAUCUGCCCUGCACUCUGGGAUAAGCCUGGGAAACUGGGUCUAAUACCGGAUAUGACCAACUGUCGCAUGGUGGUUGGUGGAAAGCUUUUGCGGUGUGGGAUGGGCCCGCGGCCUAUCAGCUUGUUGGUGGGGUAAUGGCCUACCAAGGCGACGACGGGUAGCCGACCUGAGAGGGUGAUCGGCCACACUGGGACUGAGACACGGCCCAGACUCCUACGGGAGGCAGCAGUGGGGAAUAUUGCACAAUGGGCGCAAGCCUGAUGCAGCGACGCCGCGUGUGGGAUGACGGCCUUCGGGUUGUAAACCUCUUUCACCAGGGACGAAGCGUGAGUGACGGUACCUGGAGAAGAAGCACCGGCCAACUACGUG